CGCGUAGGCGGUGCGGUAAGUCACCUGUGAAACCUCCGGGCUCAACUCGGAGCCUGCAGGCGAAACUGCCGUGCUGGAGUGUGGGAGGGGUGCGUGGAAUUCCCGGUGUAGCAGUGAAAUGCGUAGAGAUCGGGAGGAACACCUGUGGCGAAAGCGGCGCACUGGACCACAACUGACGCUGAGGCGCGAAAGCUAGGGGAGCAAACAGGAUUAGAUACCCUGGUAGUCCUAGCCCUAAACGAUGGAUGCUUGGUGUAGCCGGUACCCAAUCCGGCUGUGCCGCAGCUAACGCGAUAAGCAUCCCGCCUGGGGAUACGGUCGCAAGGCUGAA
rnacentral:rRNA from 1 species